UUCGGUACUGUUAAUAUAUUCCCAUGAUUGGGCAAUGUUUUCAUUUUCUUUUGAAUGAAGUUUUUUGUAAAAUUCUUUUCAAUUUGAAGUAUUUCACUUUUAUCCGUAACAAUAUUUCCUUGGUCAUCUUUUAGUUUUACUAUUGUUUUUUUUGUUUGUUUAUUUUUUCUAGGCCUAAAAAGUAAGCUGUAUUUUUUUCGCUUUUUUCUUCCCAAUCUUGUUUCAAUCUUAAUUGGGCGCCUUAAGAUUUAUAUUCAUAAUGUUUUCUAACUGGUUUUCAAUUUGAUUUAUUUUUUGCAAAAAAUCGUUGUUUUCAUUUUUCUGAUAUUUUUCAGUUAAGAUUGUUAAUUUUUUU
rnacentral:lncRNA from 1 species